GUUCGAGUUUCAAGGCAAGGUUGGCAUUUUGAUGUGAAGGAGGAAACUCCUCUCAUGUUUAAGAAAAAUUUCUAAUUACCUGUGCCGAGAAAAAGGAAAAUAUUAACAUGGAACCUAUGAAAAUCUCUGUUCAAUAAUCUGUGGAGAUAGUUUAAAGGUGACACGAUGUUUAAAUUAAAAUCAUGAUGAGAAUCUAGACUGUUCUUUUUUAUUCCAGUGUGAAGCACAGUCCUAGCACAUGGUAGGUGCUCAGU